GUCAUGGGAUGAUCUUGUGGUUGUGGGACACAGCCCCACAUUGGUCUCCGUGCUGAGCAUGGAGCCUGCUUGAGAUUCUGUCUCCCUCUGCUUUUUGCCCUCCCCUGCACAUGUGUGUACUCUCUCUCUCAAAAAUAAAUAAAUAUUAAAAAAAAGAUGAACAGACAUUCCAUGAACCCUGCCCUUGGUGGGGGGGGGGGGGGGGCGGGUGUGCUAGAGGGUGCCUCCUUAAGCCAGAGCUUGGAACAGACUUUCUCCUGGCAAAGUGAGUUCAAUGGCUGAGAUAAGGUAUCCCAGCUGAGAGCCUCAUAACCCAAUUCAGACUACUCUUCUCUGUA
rnacentral:lncRNA from 1 species